GAAGUGUGGCUCAGCUUGGUAGAGCGCUGCGUUCGGGACGCAGAGGUCGCAGGUUCAAAUCCUGU
rnacentral:tRNA from 1 species